AUGGUGACAUUUGGGUGGAUUAACCUGAGCAUCUUUAACCUCCAGGCUCCCCUAACUCUCUGGGCUGUCAGAAGCAGCCCUUUCCUUUCAAUUAGAGCAGCUUCAUCUUACCUGGAUAUACCUCAAAGACCUCAAUGGAGGCAGAUACUUCUUUUUAUGAUGUCCUCGUCAAGAGCUGCUUCCACCUCUCUCGUUGCCUCCAGACCAAUAACUAGGAUGUUUUUAGGAUUCUUUCUUUGUCUUUGAAUAAUAUCUGCAACAAAUAAGUCAUGAAGUGAGUCAUUCUCUAUUAAAUUUAUUUGUAACCCCAUGAGUUCACAUAGUGAGUUCAGACAAGAAGAAGAAGAGAUGUUGCAGAUUCACAUGUUCCUUUGUUCAGGAAAGUUUUCUUCUAUUAUGUUCUAAGUGUUUUUAAUGUUUUAUUGUAAUGCUUUUACAAAAGAACAUCUAAUACCUAUUAAAAUAAUAGUUGUAUGUUUAAUAUCUGUUUUUGGGCUGGGCAUGAUGGCUCACACCUGUAAUCUCAGCAUUUUGGGAGGCUGAGGCAGGUGGAUCACCUGAGGUCAGGAGUUUGAUACAGGCUGGCCAACAUGGCAAAACACUGUACCUACUAAAAAUAUGAAACAUUACCUGGGCAUGAUGGCACACACCUGUAGUUUCAGCUACUCGGGAGGCUGAGGCAGGAGAAUGGCUUGAACCGGGGAGGCAGAGAUUGCAGUGAGCCGAGAUCAUGCCACUGCGCUCCAGCCUGGACAACAAGAGUGAAAGUCAGUCUCUGUCUUUUUUGGUUAGUGCAGUUUCCCUGUCCUUUUCCUGUGUGCGUUUUCUUGUUUGUUUGUUUGUUUGGUUGGUUGGUUUUUGCAAUUGUCACCAGUCCAAUCUGACACUGAUUCAGAUUUUUGCCAUAUAAGUUCUGCAGAUAUUCUACGUUCUGCAACAUUUUUCUGUUUAUUUUUUAUUUAUUUAUUUAUUUAUUGUGUGUGUGUGUGUGUGUGUGUGUGUGUGUGUGUGUGUGUUAAUGAUGAUAGGAAAGUCCAAAGAAAGAACUGAAAGAGUUUGACCAUGUAACAAAACCUGAAAGGGUUUUUCUUUCUCUGGACUUUCCUAUCAUAGUGUUUACAUUAUAAUUUCCUAGGGAGUAUGAAGUGGUCGUUGCUCAAAUUUUCUGCCAUUUCUUGGAGUAUGUCUUGUUUCAACACAUAUUCUUCAUUUUCCUUGUUACUGGUUACAUUUCUUUCCUUUUAUCAUAUAUUUUGCAGAACCUUUGCAUAAGUUCCUUUCCUGUCUGGUCGUCUUUGAAAUAAGUCAUGUCUGCUCCUUUCUGCUACUCGCUGGGAAUAUUGUGAAUGGAAAUUCUCUGGCAGUCCUCUUCUCUUGGUGCUCUUGUUGAAACUUAGUUUUGCAUUACAGAUCGGCUGUUGAAUUUUUUUUUAAGUUUUCUGUUUAUAGUUUAGAUUAUAUGGAAGGAAGAGGUGGGGAAGAGAAGCUGGAGGAACAAAUUUGACAGAGUUUGACAUAUUAUCUCUGAGACAGGAUCUUUCUCUGUCACCCAGGCAUGACCUUGGCUCACUGCAACCUCCGUCCCCGAGCUCAAGUGAUCUUCCCACUUCUGGCUGCCAAGUAGCUGGGACUACAGGCAUGAGCCACUAUGCCUGACUAAUUGAAAAAAAAAAAGGCUUUUUGUAGAGAUGGGUUCUUGCUAUGUUGCAUAGGCUUGUCUUGAACUCCUGGACUCAAGCAAUUCUCCUGCCUCAGCCUCCCAAAGUUCUGAAAUAACAGGCAUGAGCCACUGCACCCAGCCAACUUUUCUACUUGUUUCCCACAAAUAUAAGGUCAUAAAUAGAGGAGACAUGUCUUGAAAUUGGCAUUCUUGUCCUAUUAAUUCACCUUCAGCAGGGAGUUUGUGAGAUGGGGUUGCUGCCAUUUUAUAGUCUUGAGAUAUUAAUAAAUAGUGCGCAUUUCCCCUUUUGGUCCUUUGU
rnacentral:lncRNA from 13 species